GAUCCUGGCUCAGGAUGAACGCUAGCUACAGGCUUAACACAUGCAAGUCGAGGGGCAGCAUUUUUAUUAGCAAUAUAAAAGAAUGGCGACCGGCGCACGGGUGAGUAACACGUAUCCAACCUGCCGAUAACUCGGGGAUAACCCUUCGAAAGAAGGCCUAAUACCCGAUGGCAUAUCCCUUCCGCCUGGUUGGGAUAUUAAAGAACUUCGGUUAUCGAUGGGGAUGCGUUCCAUUAGCUUGUUGGCGGGGUAACGG
rnacentral:rRNA from 1 species